UACGUAGGGUGCAAGCGUUGUCCGGAAUUACUGGGCGUAAAGGGCGCGUAGGCGGACAUCUAAGUCAGGGGUGAAAUCCCAGGGCUCAACCCUGGAAUUGCCUUUGAUACUGGACGUCUCGAGUUCGGGAGAGGUGAGUGGAAUUCCGAGUGUAGAGGUGAAAUGCGCAGAUAUCAGGAGGAACACCAGUGGCGAAGGCGGCUCUG
rnacentral:rRNA from 1 species